UACCUAGGUAACUAGGAGGAGCAGUUGAGCUGUUGCUGGGAGAGGGAAGACUGAAAAGAGCUACUAAGGGGAAGAGUAGAAGAAGGCUACAGAAGAAGCUGAGGAGAAGGAGGAAAGACUUGAAAGAGAGAGGCUUACUUGAUGACACAGUACCUGUAAUGGAUCUGUAGCAGUAGAAAACACCAUUUAAAGUGCCAGGCCUGACUGAAGCUGUGGAAGGGUUUAGUGGGACUGUGGGAAGGAAGGGCACCACCAGAGAUCAAAACCACAAAGAAGUUCCAGACUGCUUUUAGCUCAGGAGAGGGUAUCUUAAGAGGUAGUCAGACAUAACAAGAACCCAGGAGUUGUGGCACAUAUUUCCUCGGCAGUGCUUCCUGAAAAUAAAGAGGAGGCAGAGAUUGGUAAAUGGAGACCAGAGAUUUUGGGUAACUAGGAAAAGGCCUCUGCACAGAAGCAACUGCCAGUCAGAGCAUGCUUUUCCUCUCUUUUUUGGAAAUCUUAUGAAGUUCCUCUGCAGUAAUAAACAUGGCAGCCUGGGCAAACAGUCCCUCCAUGAUGUCGGACCUCUAGAAUCCCUUCUGAUAGCAGCCUUCUUUGCCCAAGGUUUUUCAACCAAAGAAGAGAGCAUUCUCAAAGCAAUUUACAUAGCAAAGACACCAAAUCAGAAGUGGCACUGACUGUAAUACAACAAACUGGCAGUGAUAUUGCCUGGAUUCUCCAGGAAAAGCAAAUGAACAAAGGAUGGCAAUUCCAGAGAAAAGAGCCAGUGUGGAAGCAACUCUUCUUAGAGGAUAGAAAAUGUCCAAAGUCAUGCUUUUCUCCACUGCUACAACCUUAGAUUCACCUUAGAAUGGAAUCUCAGAGAGAGGGGAUGGUGUUGUUUUAGGAAUAGCUUCAGUUCUUUGGACUAGGUGCCUGGCUAGAUCUAGAUGUGAGUUGAAAACAUAAAGGCAUAAAGGCAAUAGACACAAUAAUUUCUCAUUUUUUGUUUACAAGAGGGAAAUGAAUUCUGUUUUCUCCUUUGUUAUAUCCAUACCAUCUAUGUAAUUGGUGAUUUGCCCUAAGACUUUGUGAAGAACUGAGUAUAUAUCUACAUAAAUCAAUUUCUGAUCUUCUUUUGAACCUAUGCAUGGGGGGAAAAUUAGAAUAAGAUUUAAAAAAUAAAGCAUGGGAGGAUUCUGAGGGAAA